GACAGAGGGUGCAAACGUUGUUCGGAAUUACUGGGCGUAAAGCGCGUGUAGGCUGUUCGGUAAGUCAGGUGUGAAAGCCCUGGGCUCAACCUAGGAAGUGCACUUGAAACUACCGAACUCGAGUCCUGGAGAGGAAGGCGGAAAUUCUCGGGUGUAGAGGUGAAAAUUUCGUAGAUAUCGAGAGGAACACCGGUGGCGAAGGCGGCCUUCUGGACAGCGACUGACGCUGAGGAGCGAAAGUGUGGGGGAGCGAAACAGG
rnacentral:rRNA from 1 species